UACGUAGGGUCCGAGCGUUGUCCGGAAUUAUUGGGCGUAAAGGGCUCGUAGGCGGUUUGUUGCGUCGGGAGUGAAAACCAGGUGCUUAACACCUGGACUGCUUUCGAUACGGGCAGACUAGAGGCAUUCAGGGGAGAACGGAAUUCCUGGUGUAGCGGUGAAAUGCGCAGAUAUCAGGAGGAACACCGGUGGCGAAGGCGGUUCUCUGGGCAUUACCUGACGCUGAGGAGCGAAAGUGUGGGGAGCGAACAGG
rnacentral:rRNA from 1 species